GACGAACGCUGGCGGCGCGCUUAACACAUGCAAGUCGAACGGAAAGGCCUGCUUUCCCUUGUGGAUUGCGGGUACUCGAGUGGCGAACGGGUGAGUAACACGUGAGUGAUCUGCCCCCAACUUGGGUAUAAGCCUGGGAAACUGGGUCUAAUUCCCGAUAGGACUGCAGGGUGGUGCCUGUGGUGGAAAACGAUUUUCUAGUGGUUGGGGAUGAGCUCGCGGCCUAUCAGCUUGUUGGUGGGGUAAUGGCCUACCAAGGCGGCGACGGGUAGCCGGCCUGAGAGGGUGGACGGCCACAUUGGGACUGAGCUACGGCCCAGACUCCUACGGCAGGCAGCAGUGGGGAAUAUUGCACAAUGGGCGGAAGCCUGAUGCAGCGACGCCGCGUGGGGGAUGACGGCCUUCGGGUUGUAAACUCCUUUCGACCGCGAGGAAGCCACCUGGCUGGAAGGGUGGUGACGGUAGUGGUAGAAGAAGCACCGGCUAACUACGUG
rnacentral:rRNA from 1 species